rnacentral:tRNA from 1 species
GACAGACCAUGGAGUACGGCGCGGAGCAGGCGGCCCGGCUGCGGUCGGGCGCCGUACGGCCGUACUGACGGCCGGGUUCCGGCCCUGGGGUCUGUCG